CAACUCAGACCGCUUUGUUUUUCAAAAUCCAGUGUAUUUUAUUGAUCGCUUCGUGUAGAAAAAGAUCGUUUUACUGAAUAAAAUAAGGCCUUUUCUGGGAUUAAAUUUUGUUUUACUCACCACGUAGUCCCAGCUAUAUCUGCGCAAAUUGAAGAAAUAUGAUUCCGAAUGAAAUUUUCGCUGAAGAUAUGAUGAGUACUGUGAUACGUUAUGGCUUGUAUAUAGGUGCAGCAUUUCAAUUGGUAUGCUUAUUAGCGUGUGUAACGUUAACUGACGAACAAAGUGAACCACAUCCAUAUGAAAAGGCCUAUACUGAUAGCGAUGAAUGUAGCUCCGAGCAAUCAUCUCCCGGCCAUCGUGCCACAGUGUCCCGUGCCAGGCGUCAUGACAAAAAGAAACGACGUUGAGGGAACUUUAUAGAAAACAUGAAUUUCCACUUUUUUCCUCUGUAUUCCGAAGCUAGAUCAUAUAAGUCUGCGCUGACAUUAGUUUUAAGAGCAAUUAGAAUGUAAUCUAAUAUUUUAUUUUAUAUUAUAUAACUGUAUUUCAUAUAUAUUUCUGCAUUUAAUAAUUGUAUGUAUCAAAUAAAAUUAAAUCUAAAAUA